GUUUUCUCUCCAUUAAUCUUUCUUGCUUACUGUUGCUUUUUGUUGCCAUCGUUGCCUUCGCUUCUCAUCUAGUACCGUGGACCUUGCUUUUGGAUUCCAUCACUGAAAUGUGAUUUAUGUUGGAGUAUCGGAUAUUGGACAGUGUUGGUAACUUGAGACAUAAAGGUUGUUUGGAUUUGUCAAUCUGCGCUAAAAUCGUGCGAGACGCGGGCCCAUUAAGGCGACAUUGACAGGCAGAUGAAGUUUCUCCUUCGCGUAAUUCAGUUGCAUCACCAGUUCAGCUAAUGAAUUCGCGUAAAAGGAUACACUUGCGAAACCGAACGUCGGUUUACUCGGUGUUUCUAUUAAACCCAUUAAAUUUCUUGGAUUACAUUAUCCGUCCGAAGAGUAAACAAUCCUUUCACUUUUG